GACGAACGCUGGCGGCGCGCCUAACACAUGCAAGUCGAACGGAGCUGUUUUCUCUGAAGUUUUCGGAUGGAAGAGAGUUCAGCUUAGUGGCGAACGGGUGAGUAACACGUGAGCAACCUGCCUUUCAGUGGGGGACAACAUUUGGAAACGAAUGCUAAUACCGCAUAAGACCACAGUGUCGCAUGGCACAGGGGUCAAAGGAUUUAUCCGCUGAAAGAUGGGCUCGCGUCCGAUUAGCUAGAUGGUGAGGUAACGGCCCACCAUGGCGACGAUCGGUAGCCGGACUGAGAGGUUGAACGGCCACAUUGGGACUGAGACACGGCCCAGACUCCUACGGGAGGCAGCAGUGGGGAAUAUUGCACAAUGGGGGAAACCCUGAUGCAGCGACGCCGCGUGGAGGAAGAAGGUCUUCGGAUUGUAAACUCCUGUCCCAGGGGACGAUAAUGACGGUACCCUGGGAGGAAGCACCGGCUAACUACGUGCCAGCAGCCGCGGUAAAACGUAGGGUGCAAGCGUUGUCCGGAAUUACUGGGUGUAAAGGGAGCGCAGGCGGAUUGGCAAGUUGGGAGUGAAAUCUAUGGGCUCAACCCAUAAAUUGCUUUCAAAACUGUCAGUCUUGAGUGGUGUAGAGGUAGGCGGAAUUCCCGGUGUAGCGGUGGAAUGCGUAGAUAUCGGGAGGAACACCAGUGGCGAAGGCGGCCUACUGGGCACUAACUGACGCUGAGGCUCGAAAGCAUGGGUAGCAAACAGGAUUAGAUACCCUGGUAGUCCAUGCCGUAAACGAUGAUUACUAGGUGUGGGAGGAUUGACCCCUUCCGUGCCGCAGUUAACACAAUAAGUAAUCCACCUGGGGAGUACGACCGCAAGGUUGAAACUCAAAGGAAUUGACGGGGGCCCGCACAAGCAGUGGAGUAUGUGGUUUAAUUCGAAGCAACGCGAAGAACCUUACCAGGUCUUGACAUCGGAUGCAUACCUAAGAGAUUAGGGAAGUCCUUCGGGACAUCCAGACAGGUGGUGCAUGGUUGUCGUCAGCUCGUGUCGUGAGAUGUUGGGUUAAGUCCCGCAACGAGCGCAACCCUUAUCGUUAGUUGCCAGCAUUCAGUUGGGCACUCUAAGGUGACUGCCGGCUAAAAGUCGGAGGAAGGUGGGGAUGACGUCAAAUCAUCAUGCCCCUUAUGACCUGGGCUACACACGUGCUACAAUGGGCGGUACAAAGGGUUGCGAACCCGCGAGGGGGAGCCAAUCCCAAAAAGCCGCUCUCAGUUCGGAUUGCAGGCUGCAACUCGCCUGCAUGAAGCCGGAAUCGCUAGUAAUCGCGGAUCAGCAUGCCGCGGUGAAUACGUUCCCGGGCCUUGUACACACCGCCCGUCACACCACGAGAGUUUGCAACACCCGAAGUCGGUGAGGUAACCCUUACGGGAGCCAGCCGCCGAAGGUGGGGCAAAUGAUUGGGGUG
rnacentral:rRNA from 1 species